UUCCGUAGGUGACCUGCGGAAGGAUC
rnacentral:rRNA from 1 species